GGUUACAUAUCGAUGAAUUCUGAUGCCCGAUUACCCAUCGAAUUUGGACUCAAUAUUUAUGAAAGAUUUAAUUAGUGAUUUGAUCACUAAUUAACUCAAUUUGAUUGUAUAAUUAUUUUUGGAUCAAGUCCAAUUGAAUUGGAUUCAGUUGGGUUUGACCCAAUUAGGUUAAGAGUUGACCUAAUCGUCGAGAUGGUUUGGUCCCUGAUUUGAUCAGGGGUUGGGCUUAAUCAAUUUUUGAUUUGAUUAGGAUUUU
rnacentral:lncRNA from 1 species